CUUUGGAAACUAUUGAUAAAUGCAAGUUAAGUGUGGCUGAGGCAGUUACAAAAGUUUGAACAGAAGUCAUGGAGAUUUAAAAAAAAAUCCUCAUUCUGAUUGCUUUGCAAGUAUCUUUGAAGUCUUACUUCAUUUACUAAAGUUGUAAGCAGAGACCUCAGCACAAUGUUGUAGGUAUAGUCUAACACACGAAAGGGCUCAUGAAUGCCAGUAGGACCCAAGCACACAGGAUGAUGUGCAUUUGCAUAGGUUCCAUAGUUCUCUGAUUCUAUCAGUUUCCAUUAUCCUCAGAAUCAUAACUCCAGAUGACAGGAAAGAAAAGACUUUUACUGAUGGAUGCGAGCGCCUGUCGGUCUAAGGCGUUCACAACGUCAGCCGCGGUGGGCAUGUCGGGAUACCUACGCACAAGGACAGCCAAUUAGCUCCCUGACAUCAGCUUGUAUUGACAGGAGUAAGGAACAUACAAGACUCGCCAAUCAAUGAUAUCUGAACAAAUCUAAGCCCCAGGAACUUAACUGAAUCUACGGCAGUAAAGUAACUACUUGUGGGAUAGUUGAAGGCAGAAAGUCUAUAGGAGAAAAUAUUGAUCAGUUUGCACUCACAAAAAACUAGAAUAAUCUUAAUGGCAAUAAUGUAUCAUGUCAAAUUUUGUAAUAUUAUCUCUGUCACCCAUGACAAAGGUCACCAUAAAAUAGACAUACAAUAUUGAACAAGUCUAAAUAAAAUCUCAGA